UCUCUCUCUCUCUCUCUCUCUCUCUCUCUCUCUCUCUCUCUCUCUAUUGUGACUCACAUGCUCCCCUCAACCCUCCCUAUUCGCUUCCACAGAAGAGCCUGAUACUGCCACUGCUGACCAGAAGAAGCCAGGCAAGAUCCCCUACUUCCAGUGUGUUGUGUACCCCGGCAAGUCCAAGCAAGGCCAAGGAGGCGCUCCCUGGAGACCCCUCGGCCCAAACAUGACCCCAGCGAUGACCACCGCCAUGCGGGCAGCCAUGGAACAGAGGGCUUCCCUCAUGGAGGCCAGAGCCAGGGCAGGGGGACAAUAGUAAAAAACAACCACAGCCCUUCCGGACAUCAACUCUUCUCACCUAUCACUCACCCUUUUUCGGAGGUGGAAAAAAAGUAAACACCCUGGCACAUUUUUGUUUGCUCCAGCCAAUUCAACGAACCAACUGAUGCUAAUUUCCACGUCACUUCAGGAGCUAAUUUGUGAAAUCGCCUGUGCUGGGAGCACUGGUAGAAUGAAAAUCGAAGGGCUUUUACUCUGUCCGUUCAGUUUUCCACCUCUCGCCCUUGCUGCACCCAUUUCAUCAGGGGACUUUUCCCACUCCAAACCACCAGGUGGUGAUGUGGCGCUGCUCAUCACCAACACUGACAGUGCUGUCCUGCUGCUGCUGCCAGCUGAUGUGCUAGUGGGCCUUUCUUUAACCUCUGAUUGCAGUCAGUAGAUGAGGCCUUUAGUCACUGAUCAUGGGGUCGAGGGGAAAGUGUUUUUUUUUUUUUUUAAAUAAAUGGGUUUAUUGACUGUAUUGUAGAGUCUAAUUUCCAAUCUUUUAUAGACAUUGGCUUUGGUAUAUUUAUUUUAUUUAUUUAAAGGGCUGAUGAUUUUGUUGAAGCUAUGGCACCAUCCAGUGUUUCCUAUGCCCGCACAUACUGUAGGUGUAUAUAAGAUACUGUAAAAAAAGAAGUUUAGGAUUUAUUACAAUAUAAUAUAUUUAUCUAAGUUAUGCAUAUAUUUUCACGGAGGAGUUUUUGUUUUUUGGAGAGUGAAAUUUGUGAAUGUUCUGACAUAUUGUAUAUACUAUGGGUAAAUCUUACUAUAUCAACUGGCAGUUUACACAUUUUUUUGUUAUUUUUAUGGUAAAUGCAACAGGACUUUUUUUCCCUUGCAAUACUUAAUCUCAUAUUAUUUGGUUUGAAAUCACUUUGAACUUGUUUGAUUUCUCUUUGCUCCUCGUUUGAUGAUUGAUAGUUUAAGUAUUAAAUCACUUCCACACAGAAGCAUGUAGGAACGCGCACACAUACACACACACACACACAAACACAUAGAUGUGCACACACGCACGCACGCACGCACACACGCACUCUCUCUCUCUCUCUCCCCCGCUCUGGGUCCCUUUCCUAACCCCCCCACUGGUAAUGGGAUUAUCUUGAGUGUGUCUGUGUCUGUGUGUGUGUUUCCGCCCUGAUAUGGUGCUGCCAUCAAGCCCAGGCUGCCUGCAUGCUGUGUAUCUUGGCAGAGAGGGGAAGUCCUACUUCCCACUGUUCCUCAUGGCCAAGGCAGGUUUAAAUUUGGAAUUAGUUAUUAACAUGAAAAAUUCCUUUCAUAAAAAUCUGCAUUCUUUGGAUGGUUCAGUUGUUUGUUUGGGUGUGGUAAUAGAGAAAAUCACGUGGAUCUCACCCGUUUUCACAUAAUGUGAUUCACUACCUACGGUAUGUAAGCGAAUAUGGAUGAGAGGUAACUAUUAAUGUAAUUUACCGCAUGGUAAAAGAUUUCAGGGCACUGUUUUUCUCCUGAUUUCCUUUGUUUUGUCUUUUCUUUUUCUAAAAUUAUGUUUUAUGUGUGCUAUAAACACACACACACACACACACACACACACACACACACACACACACACACACACACACACACACACACACACACACACACACACACACACUGUAUAGUAAAGCUGCCUUAAGGCAUGCAAGCUGGUGUCUGGCGUUGCUAUGCACCAGAGCUUCAAAUGAAACGGAGGGUAUUUUUAUGAAAACAAACGUCAAAUCCUUCCUUCAUGUGCAAAGCAAGGGAUGAAAAAAAUGCGCCCUCUCGUUAGAACAGAGAGAGGAGAUGACCUAAGAGUGCCUGUGCACCUACUUGACCAAGUUUUUUUUUUGAAAAUAGAGAGCGUGUUGUGUGUAGUCUUUUCCCAACACUGCCUCUGUCUUGUUUGUGCGUGACUAACAACUUUUAUUUAUUUGCACAUUGCCAUUUGCCUUUUUUAAACGCCUGGCAACGUGACUUAUGGGAUAUGUGGUGCCAAUCCACUGUCAGUUUUGUCUUACCGAAAACAAAUCGUGAGGUGACGGGUUAGUGGAAUAGAGGUGUUGCUUGAAAUUGGGGGCCAACUAA